rnacentral:rRNA from 1 species
GACGAACGCUGGCGGCGUGCUUAACACAUGCAAGUCGAACGGAAAGGCCCUGCUUUUGUGGGGUGCUCGAGUGGCGAACGGGUGAGUAACACGUGAGUAACCUGCCCUUGACUUUGGUAUAACUUCAGGAAACUGGGGCUAAUACCGGAUAGGAGCUCCUGCUGCUUGGUGGGGGUUGGAAAGUUUCGGCGGUUGGGGAUGGACUCGCGGCUGAUCAGCUUGUUGGUGGGGUAGUGGCUUACCUAGGCUUUGACGGGUAGCCGGGCUGAGAGGGUGACCGGUCACACUGGGAAUGAGACACGGGCGAGACGCCGAAGAGAGGCAGCAGGGGGGAAUAUUGCACAAUGGGCGAAAGGAUGAUGCAGCGACGCCGCGUGAGGGAUGGAGGCCUGCGGGGUGUGAACCUCUUUCGCGAGUGAAGCAGGCGUGCCUCGUGUGUGGGUGGGUUGAGGGUAGCUGGAUAAGAAGCGCCGGCUAACUACGUG